rnacentral:tRNA from 1 species
UUCUAAUUUGGCAGACUAGUGCAAUGGACUUAAACCUCAUUUAUAAAAGAUUACCCUUUUUUUUAGAA